UGAUGCAGCGACGCCGCGUGAGGGAUGACGGCCUCGGGUUGUAAACCUCUUUCAGCAGGGACGAAGCGAAAGUGACGGUACCUGCAGAAGAAGCGCCGGCCAACUACGUGCCAGCAGCCGCGGUAAGGCGUAGGGCGCGAGCGUUGUCCGGAUUUAUUGGGCGUAAAGAGCUCGUAGGCGGCUUGUCGCGUCGACUGUGAAAACCCGCGGCUCAACCGUGUGGUCUGCAGUCGAUACGGGCAGGCUAGAGUUCGGUAGGGGAGACUGGAAUUCCUGGUGUAGCGGUGAAAUGCGCAGAUAUCAGGAGGAACACCGGUGGCGAAGGCGGGUCUCUGGGCCGAUACUGACGCUGAGGAGCGAAAGCGUGGGGAGCGAACAGGAUUAGAUACCCUGGUAGUCCACGCUGUAAACGUUGGGCGCUAGGUGUGGGGGCCUCUCCGGUUCUCUGUGCCGCAGCUAACGCAUUAAGCGCCCCGCCUGGGGAGUACGGCCGCAAGGACCA
rnacentral:rRNA from 1 species